rnacentral:rRNA from 1 species
GACGAACGCUGGCGGCGUGCCUAAUACAUGCAAGUAGAACGCUGAAGAGAGGAGCUUGCUCUUCUUGGAUGAGUUGCGAACGGGUGAGUAACGCGUAGGUAACCUGCCUUGUAGCGGGGGAUAACUAUUGGAAACGAUAGCUAAUACCGCAUAACAAUGGAUGACACAUGUCAUUUAUUUGAAAGGGGCAAUUGCUCCACUACAAGAUGGACCUGCGUUGUAUUAGCUAGUAGGUGAGGUAACGGCUCACCUAGGCGACGAUACAUAGCCGACCUGAGAGGGUGAUCGGCCACACUGGGACUGAGACACGACCCAGACUCCUACGGGAAGCAGCAGUAUGGAAUCUUCGGCAAUGGGGGCAACCCUGACCAGACAACGCCGCGUGAGUGAAGAAGGUUUUCGGAUCGUAAAGCUCUGUUGUAAGUCAGGAACGAGUGUGAGAGUGGAAAGUUCACACUGUGACGGUAGCUUACCAGAAAGGGACGGCUAACUACGUG